rnacentral:rRNA from 1 species
GACGAACGCUGGCGGCGUGCCUAAUACAUGCAAGUAGAACGCUGAAGGAGGAGCUUGCUUCUCUGGAUGAGUUGCGAACGGGUGAGUAACGCGUAGGUAACCUGCCUGGUAGCGGGGGAUAACUAUUGGAAACGAUAGCUAAUACCGCAUAAGAGUAGAUGUCGCAUGACAUUUGCUUAAAAGGUGCAAUUGCAUCACUACCAGAUGGACCUGCGUUGUAUUAGCUAGUUGGUGAGGUAACGGCUCACCAAGGCAACGAUACAUAGCCGACCUGAGAGGGUGAUCGGCCACACUGGGACUGAGACACGGCCCAGACUCCUACGGGAGGCAGCAGUAGGGAAUCUUCGGCAAUGGACGGAAGUCUGACCGAGCAACGCCGCGUGAGCGAAGAAGGUUGUCGGAUCGUAAAGCUCUGUUGUAAGAGAAGAACGAGUGUGAGAGUGGAAAGUUCACACUGUGACGGUAUCUUACCAGAAAGGGACGGCUAACUACGUG